AAGGGACCUCGCCAUAUCAAAAAUGAAGUGAACGCACUAAGGAAGAAAAUGAAUAGCCAACAGCUUAGGGACCAUACAACUGGACGGGUCCUUAGCACAUAGGAGCCGUUCGAUUAAUAUGAGACCCGACCUUGACCGUUGAUCCGAUGGCUACAAGAUGAAGGACCGGUGGAUUCGAAUUCGAUCAUAUUAUGUGGGCACUUUUGAGCAAAGUGGAAAAGAACAGGGUAAUGAUUGAUUACGCUUUAUUUUGUAUGGAGUUUCCCUCUUCAUCCCAAUCGCAGCCUCUUUCUGUUCUGUUUUCCUCUUUGUCAUGAUUAUGUCGGUACUUUCAACUGUUGGCUGGGCUUCGCUUUGUAUAUAUUACAGCAGAUAGUCUUCAAAUCCUGUCUUCCCCCACAACUGUCCCUCAGCUCAGACUCUCAGAGUGGAACUUAGAACAGAGAAGGACAGCGGAGGGAGGCGAAACCCAGAAACAAGGUUCAAUCUUUUAUCUCCGGUGAGUGUCAAAGUGGGCCAUUUUCCAUUUGCCGAUCACUUCUCUCUGUGUCUCCAUUGCAAGAAAGGUGGGUUCUUUCUCCAAUUUUUGCCGGAAUUGGGAGGAAAGACUUUGAAGGGGAAAUAACUUACACUUUCUGAGAACUUGGGGCUGGGAAUUCCUGCUCCCAAGGAUCUGAAGAGUGGAGUUACUUGAAGAGGGGAGCCAAACUCCGUAAAAGAUGAGGCAGAAACAAUGCCGUCUCUUUCUACUUGUGCAUCACAGGGUUGGAAACUCUCUGUUCCUGUCAGAAAUAAUGCCGCGUUAGCUCAAUGUAAUCAAAGGAAUAUGCUUUGCUUUGUUCACAAAAGUUGAGUAUCAUAACCUGGAGCUGUAAUUGCAGUUGAGAAGAUCCCUUCCUCACCCUCUGGAAUACCCUCUUCAGCAGUUUACUGAAGAGUAUAGAUUGUCUUUUAGACAAUCUUACUCACCCGAAUCGGCUAUGUCCCCCUUGUGGCUGAUAUGAUGGUGGCUUAUUGAGAGGUUAUUGCGAAUAUUUUGAACCAAUACAGCAAAUGGAGUCCU